rnacentral:rRNA from 1 species
UACGUAGGGGGCAAGCGUUGUCCGGAAUCAUUGGGCGUAAAGCGCGUGUAGGCGGCUCGAUAAGUCUGCUGUGAAAGUUCAGGGCUCAACCCUGAAAUGCCGGUGGAAACUGUCGGGCUAGAGUCCGGAAGAGGCGAGUGGAAUUCCUGGUGUAGCGGUGAAAUGCGCAGAUAUCAGGAGGAACACCAAUGGCGAAGGCAGCUCGCUGGAACGGUACUGACGCUGAGACGCGAAAGCGUGGGGAGCAAACAGG